rnacentral:rRNA from 1 species
UACAGAGGUCUCGAGCGUUAGGCGGAAUCACUGGGCUUAAAGCGUGUGUAGGCGGAUCGUUAAGUGCCUUGUGAAAUCCCACGGCUCAACCGUGGAACUGCUUGGCAUACUGGCGGUCUUGAGCAACCUAGGGGCGAGCGGAACAAAUGGUGGAGCGGUGAAAUGCGUAGAGAUCGGGAGGAACACCCGUGGCGAAGGCGGCCAACUGGGCCGGACCUGACGCUGAGGCGCGAAGGCGUGGGGAGCGAACGGG